UCAUAGCUAUGGUGAAAGAGAAACCUCA
rnacentral:piRNA from 1 species